CCAUUCUCUCAAAAAAAACCCAAAUCACUAAAAUAAAUUGUUCUUGGAGCCCAAAGGUCCAACACCAAAUCUCUCUGCAUAACUUGUGAUAAAUCUCCUCCACCUCCUCCUUGAUUAUGCUCUUCCCAUUCAAGUCACGUAUCUAUUCUCCUCCACCUCAAGUUCUUUUUGAUUAUGCUCUUCCCAUUCAAGUCACGUAUCUAUUCUCCUCCAACUCCUGCUUGAACUGCUGUCUUUUGUCCCAAUAGGAUACAAGCCAAGGUAAUUUCUAUUUCACAAAUUCAUAGCACAAACUCCUCAAUUCCAUUCUAGUUUCAAGCAUAUGCAACAUGCAGUUGACAGAAACCAAUUUGAUCAAGUCAAAGGAGCUCUCUGUUUCUUUUCAACAAGAAAUUCGAAGAAGCUUUCCAUCCCUUCCACCCACCAUUUUGUUCGAGGAAGGUAUAAACUUUUGCCCUCUUCAAUUCAUCAAUUUCACAAGCAUGCUCAUCAUACAAAUAUAAUCGAAACUCGAAACCAAAUUAAAACAAUCAACACCGAUCGAACAUCACAAUUGAAACCCCUUGCUGCGAAUUGAAAACUGAAAACGAAAGAACAUAGCUUUGUAAAAGAACUUAUCUUUCAGGUUGUUUUGAAUGAUUCGGGGGCUGCCGGCGAGGUUGUUUCGAGCUCAGUUGGGGCUGCUGGAUACCGAUUCGGGGCGUGCAAAGGCGGCGGCAGAUUUGGAGAGAGAGGCGGCGGCGGUGACCAGAAAGAAGCCGAGAGAGAGAGACCGAUAGGAGAGAAGGGGCGACGAAGCUAUUUCGGAAAUUGGGGAAAAUUAGGAGAAAGAGAGAACAGAGGGAGAGACGGGAGAGAUAGGGAGAUUAGGAGGGGGAGAGAACACCGACGGAGGAGGAGGCGGUGGCGGCGCUGGAGGGAGGUUGGCCGACGGUCAGCACCAGGCAGGAAGGGGAGAGAAAACUCUUCUUUGAUAGCCACGGUGGAGUGAGGAAGGAGAAGCAUUUAGGGUUAUCUCCGCAAGUUAAAGUCGGAGCGAGAAAUUCAAGUUAAGGAAAUUAAACGAACGAGGUUGAGCAGUGACGGUGGGGAAUGCUGAGCAGAGUUUGUGAUUUUCUUUAUAUUUUAAGUAGAGGCUCUCAGAGGUGCAUGUCUCCAUACAUGUGACCAUGUUCAUUCCGCUGCGUAUUGUUCUUCUAUACUCUGAUAAAUAUUAAUUGAAAAGAUCUCCAUUCGA